GUCUUUGUGGUGUAGUGGUCAGUACGCUCGACGCGUAUUCGAGAGGUCCGUGGUUCGAGUCUCGGCGAGGACA
rnacentral:tRNA from 1 species